rnacentral:rRNA from 1 species
GUCCACGCCGUAAACGAUGCGCACUAGGUAUGAGAGGUCUGACGCCGCUCGUGCCGAAACAAAAGCGUUAAGUGCGCCGCCUGGGGAGUACGGCCGCAAGGCUAAAAACUCAAAAGGAAUUGACGGGGGCUCACACAAGCGGUGGAGCAUGUGGAUUAAUUCGAAGCAACGCGCAGAACCCUACCUGGGUUUGACAUGCACGGAUGCCGUCCAUGAAAGUGGAGCCGGUUGCCUUCGGGUGAAACGUGCACAGGUGCUGCAUGGCUGUCGU